UACGUAGGGGGCUAGCGUUGUCCGGAAUCAUUGGGCGUAAAGCGCGUGUAGGCGGCCCGGUAAGUCCGCUGUGAAAGUCGGGGGCUCAACCCUCGGAUGCCGGUGGAUACUGUCGGACUAGAGUUCGGAAGAGGCGAGUGGAAUUCCCGGUGUAGCGGUGAAAUGCGUAGAUAUCAAGAGGAACACCUGAGGUGAAGACGGGUUGCUGGGCUGACACUGACGCUGAGGCGCGAAAGCCAGGGGAGCAAACGGG
rnacentral:rRNA from 1 species